CCUUGGCAGCAACACAGAGUUUGUUGGGUCUUGGAGAGGGGCCUCAUACCAUGAACCAUGAAGCCACCAGGGUUGCACUUGAUUUCAUUAACAAUGGAUAACUUCAAAGUGGUCAUUUCCACCCGUACGAGUCCCGGUGCCGAUUCUGGUCCCUCGUAGCCAGAUAAGAGGGACACUCACCUUCACUUCAGGCAGCUUCAUCAACAGAACAACAGGAAGAGACACUCGGCUUUAAUCCUCAGAGAGGAUCCUCUCAGUCUCAACCCCUCUCCUUUCCUGCUCUCUGAGAUAAUAAGCUCUUCUGAACCUGAGAGGUUCGUGUCCAGGAAACUAAAUGCAGUCUAUCCUUAAACAACA